rnacentral:misc_RNA from 1 species
AAAGUCGUAACAAGGUUUCCGUAGGUGAACCUGCGGAAGGAUCAUUAUUGAAUUUUAAUGAGGAGUUUGGUUGUAGCUGGCCUAUUCAUUUGGGCAUGUGCACACCUUUCUCUUUCAUCCCCCACACACACCUGUGAACCUGUGAGACAGAUGGGAAAUUUAUUUGUUGCUUUUUGAAAUACAAAGGCAAUGAGUUAUUGGACCCUCUGUCUACUCAAUUAACAUAAACUCAAUUUAUUUUAAAAUGAAUGUAAUGGAUGUAACACAUCUAAUACUAAGUUUCAACAACGGAUCUCUUGGCUCUC